CUGCCAUGGCUGAAGUCUGUACGGUUUAUUAAAUGAGUAGACAGGUGUCUGCCAUGGCUGAAAUCAGUAUGGUUUAUUAAAUGAGUAGACAGGUGUCUGCCAUGGCUGAAAUCAGUACGGUUUAUUAAAUGAGUAGACAGGUGUCUGCCAUGGCUGAAGUCAGUAAGGUUUA